CCUACGGGUGGCAGCAGUGGGGAAUAUUGGACAAUGGGCGAAAGCCUGAUCCAGCCAUGCCGCGUGUGUGAAGAAGGCCUUCGGGUUGUAAAGCACUUUCAGUGGGGAAGAAAGCCUUGGGGCUAAUACCCUCGAGGAAGGACAUCACCCACAGAAGAAGCACCGGCUAACUCCGUGCCAGCAGCCGCGGUAAUACGGAGGGUGCGAGCGUUAAUCGGAAUUACUGGGCGUAAAGCGCGCGUAGGCGGUCUGAUAAGCCGGUUGGGAAAGCCCCGGGCUCAACCUGGGAACGGCAUCCGGAACUGUCAGGCUAGAGUGCAGGAGAGGAAGGUAGAAUUCCCGGUGUAGCGGUGAAAUGCGUAGAGAUCGGGAGGAAUACCAGUGGCGAAGGCGGUCUUCUGGACUGACACUGACGCUGAGGUGCGAAAGCGUGGGUAGCAAACAGGAUUAGAUACCCUGGUAGUC
rnacentral:rRNA from 1 species